ACAGGACAAUGUUUUUCAUGUUGGAAAGUGCCCGAAGGUGGAAGCUAUAUGGCCGGUCAGUUUAGAUUAUAACCCUGAAGACGUCGGAGCUGAUUGAUUUUCACCGAAAGUCGCCGAAUCUGAGAGAGUAUAGUAUUCGGGAUAUCCAAUUUGGGGAAAAAUGCAGGAAGUUGCUGGAGCUGAGAGAAACUAAUUCGGGAAUCUCCAUUGAACCAUGCUAGCCUUACAGAACCAAGCUG
rnacentral:lncRNA from 1 species